CCCUUUGGGGUGUAAACCGCUUUUUUGGGGGAUGAUACGCUCCUACGAUUAGGGUAACCUAGUACGGGGGACUAAGACAGUACCCCAAGAAUAAGCAUCGGCUAACUACGUGC
rnacentral:rRNA from 1 species